rnacentral:lncRNA from 1 species
AGGAAAUGAAAUCAUACUGCAAAAGCUUUGACUUUUCCAUCGAAAGCAAAGAACGUCUCAUGCUAAAGUCACAAUUCACAAUUUAUGCAAUUUAACGCAAGUCAAGUCCGAGAUUAGUAGGGCGUUAGAGUCGUCUUCAUCAUUAAUGCGUUGGUUCGUUUUUUUUUUUUUUUCUUUUUAUGGACUUUAGGUGUGAAACUAUGAAACUAAUGGUAAACUUUCCAUAACAAAUCUAAACGCAUUGACAACAAUAGAGUUCUAAAUCAAAUAUAUAUAAAAUACGAUGAACAUAUAACCAAAAAAAAUAAAUAAAAAGUUACAGCGGGGAGGAAUG